UACGUAGGUGGCAAGCGUUAUCCGGAUUUACUGGGUGUAAAGGGCGUGUAGGCGGGAGAGCAAGUCAGACGUGAAAUUCCAGGGCUCAACCCUGGAACUGCGUUUGAAACUGUUCUUCUUGAGUGAUGGAGAGGCAGGCGGAAUUCCGUGUGUAGCGGUGAAAUGCGUAGAUAUACGGAGGAACACCAGUGGCGAAAGCGGCUCUCUGGCCUGUAACUGACACUGAGGCUCGAAAGCGUGGGGAGCAAACAGG
rnacentral:rRNA from 1 species